rnacentral:lncRNA from 12 species
GGGCCGGGGCAGCCGGCGCGUCGCUCGCGGGGGCGCCCGAGCCGCGUGGGUUCUCCGCGCUGCCCACGGCCACGCCCACCCGCGCGCGCACCCGCGGCGCCAGCGCCUCCCCGGAGCGCCCGCUCCCUGCGGCGGAGGAGCGGCGCGGCGCGGCGCGGCGGGGCGGGAGGGGGGCGAGGGCGCGCAGGAGGCGCGGGGAGGGAGGCGGCCGGCGUCACCCCUCCGCGGCCUGCUCCCGCCCGCUCUCCGGUCCGCGCCCGGCCGCGCCUCGUAGGGGCCCCGUGGGCGCGGGAGCCCCGAGAACCGCGCGGUGCGCCGGCGGCGGCAGUGCCCGGCUGGGCCGCCUCACCCCCGGCGAGCGCGCCUGGAGGGGCGCCACCUGGGCGGCCCGGCGAGCGCAGCGGCUCGGAGCCGUGUGCGUGUGCGAGGGGGUGCGUGUGCGAGGGCGUGCGUGUGCAGCUGCUUUAAGGCAACACAGUUUCUCAUGUCCUUUAUGUCUGGCUGUCCCAUGGUCUGGAGACAGAGUCGGGGGAACAAGCCUGAGCUGGUCUCUGACUUCCUGGAGUUACACUCGAUUUGGGGAGAUGGAUGGAUGGAUGGCACACAAGGGACCGACCAGAGAGCGUCACACAUGGUUUAUCUGUGAGUGCAAGUCUAUGAUUCUCUGA